CCACUGCUACCGUCAAUCUCAAUCUCCCACUACCCAACUAUUUAAGCAGGCAAGGUAGCCAUGCUCAUCCUUUUUCCCCUCUCUUUCUCCUUUACUCAGAAAGGAAUCGAGUUCCCAAAAUUUCUUCAAACUGCCGUGGUCGUCGGCCGAUCUGUCGCUGCAGGCCACCGGUCGUCGUCUCCUCGCGCCACCAGACUCUUCCAGAGCCGGCAAUCAAUCCUUCCCCGAGGAGGUGCAUGAAGGGGAGGAAUUCUACGGUGCUAACGAGUUCAUGUUCUAGGUCGAUCUGCUCUCAAGCAUUGCCUGUGGUGUUUUUAUCCUAUUUUGUGUUUGGGUCUUUUGUUUGUAGGGAGUGUGUUUGGCCUGUUGGCCCCUAAAACCUGUCUUAGUUAUCUUUUAUGUAAUAAUUUCUGUAAAAACUUGGGUAUAUAUAUCGAAAGCUGUUCUGUUUAUCAA